GACGAACGCUGGCGGCGUGCUUAACACAUGCAAGUCGAACGAAGAGCGAUGGAAGCUUGCUUCUAUCAAUCUUAGUGGCGAACGGGUGAGUAACGCGUAAUCAACCUGCCCUUCAGAGGGGGACAACAGUUGGAAACGACUGCUAAUACCGCAUACGAUCUAACCUCGGCAUCGAGGAUAGAUGAAAGGUGGCCUCUACAUGUAAGCUAUCACUGAAGGAGGGGAUUGCGUCUGAUUAGCUAGUUGGAGGGGUAACGGCCCACCAAGGCGAUGAUCAGUAGCCGGUCUGAGAGGAUGAACGGCCACAUUGGGACUGAGACACGGCCCAGACUCCUACGGGAGGCAGCAGUGGGGAAUCUUCCGCAAUGGACGAAAGUCUGACGGAGCAACGCCGCGUGAGUGAUGACGGCCUUCGGGUUGUAAAGCUCUGUUAAUCGGGACGAAAGGCCUUCUUGCGAAUAGUUAGAAGGAUUGACGGUACCGGAAUAGAAAGCCACGGCUAACUACGUG
rnacentral:rRNA from 1 species